rnacentral:rRNA from 1 species
AUUGAACGCUGGCGGCAGGCCUAACACAUGCAAGUCGAGCGGAGCGGCGGACGGGUGAGUAAUGCAUAGGAACGUGCCCGGUAGCGGGGGAUAACGUCCGGAAACGGGCGCUAAUACCGCAUACUAUUGGAGGAGCCGAGGUCGGAUUAGAUAGUUGGUGGGGUAAAGGCCUACCAAGGCGACGAUCCGUAGCUGGUCUGAGAGGAUGAUCAGCCACACUGGAACUGAGACACGGUCCAGACUCCUACGGGAGGCAGCAGUGGGGAAUAUUGGACAAUGGGCGAAAGCCUGAUCCAGCCAUGCCGCGUGUGUGAAGAAGGUCUUCGGGUUGUAAAGCACUUUAAGUUGGGAGGCGUUACCUGCAGAAUAAGCACCGGCUAACUUCGUGCCAGCAGCCGCGGUAAUAC